rnacentral:rRNA from 1 species
CUGCUGCCUCCCGUAGGAGUUUGGGCCGUGUCUCAGUCCCAAUGUGGCCGUUCACCCUCUCAGGCCGGCUACUGAUCGUUGCCUUGGUAGGCCGUUACCCUUCCAACUAGCUAAUCAGACGCGGGUCCAUCCUUUUGCGAUAGCAUCUUCAGAGGCCAUCUUUCCUUAAAGAAUCAUGCGAUCCUCUAUUAUUAUGCGGUAUUAGCUCCGAUUUCUCGAAGUUGUUCCCCACAAAAGGGCAGGUUACCCACGCGUUACU